rnacentral:lncRNA from 1 species
CCGAAUGACAAGCACUUCUUCAAGGUGACUGAUGAGUCUGCCUUGAAGGACAUUGUGGACGCGCGUGGGGAUAGGAUCUUCAGUUUGGAAGGUAUUCCUAUAAUGCUGUAAAACAGCCAUCUGUAAACCACAACUAGACCCAACUCAUUUCCUUUUCCUGUUCUCAAAAGAAAAUAAUUCCUCCUGCUGAACUCACCUGGUCUUCCUCUACAGGGACCAGUAAGAACGGGACAGCCUUCGGCCUCCAGAUGUCUCAGGCUGGCUUCUUCUCACACUUCGUGGAGGAUGGGAUCCUGGUGGGGGCACCGGGGGCCUACGACUGGAAUGGAGCCGUCCUGAAGGAGACCCGACAGGGGAAGGUGGUUCCACCCAAGUCCUCCUACUCACAGGAAUUCCCAGAGGAGCUGAAGAACCACGGCGCCUACCUAGGUGAGGGAGGAAUUGACGAUCUAAAGGAUUGGUCACAGAGGGGUUUGGUUUGGGUAGAGCUAUAGACUCCUCUCCCUGAUCCUCUCUUUGCCCUUCAUCCUCUGUCCACCAUCCUCUCUCUGUCCUUCAUCCUCUCUCUGUCCUUCAUCCUCUCUCUGUCCUUCAUCUUCUCUCUGUUCUUCAUCCUCUCUCUGUUACUCAUCCUCUCUCUGUUACUCAUCCUCUCUCUGUUCCUCAUCCUCUCUCUGUUCCUCAUCCUCUCUCUGUUCCUCAUCCUUUCCCUGUCCUUCUGUCUCUCUCUGUCCCUCAUCCUCUCUCUGUCCAUCAUUCUCUCUCUGUCUUUCAUCCUCUCUCUGACCCUCAUCCACUCUCUGACCCUCAUCCUCUCUCUGACCUUCAGCCUCUCUCUGUCCUUCAGUCUCUCUCUGUACUUCAGCCCCCUUCUGUCCUUCAGCCUCUCCAUGUCCUUCAGCCUCUCUCUGUCCUCUCUCUGUCCCUCAUCCUCUCUCUGUCUCUUCAUCUUUACUGUCUCUACAGUCUACUGUUCACCAUCUCAUCUCCUCUCUCUUCAUCUUUACUGUCUCUACAGUCUACUGUUCACCAUCUCAUCUCCUCUCUCUCUCUUCAUCUUUACUGUCUUCUACAGUCUACUGUUUCACCAUCUCAUCUCCUCUUCUUCUCUUUAAUUUCUCUACAAUCUACGGUUC